UUUUUACGGCGUACUAACCGGCUAACUUAUGUCCAUGUUUUUAUCAUCCUAUGAAAACAUGGUCAUACGGUGUCCGGACAGAAGGUGGAUCCGCAGAGUGGACUAGCUGGCAACAAAGACAGGAUCCACGCUGCAAGAUGCAGCAGUCACAGGAGCUACUGACUGGACUGAGUGAAACACACGCCCGGCUGGAUGAACACACAUGCAUGUUCCAAGAUGGUGAAUGGGAGAGAAACACGAGACUUCCAGGACAUGAGAAACAGAUGCUCUACACUACUGUGGAUGGACACCUUUCCCAGGAAGGACAAGAACAAGAGCAGAGGAUGAGCUGAACAAUAACUGAUCUGUAGUGCUGAGAAAAGGAGAAACCAGAAAGGCAGGAAGGAGUUGUGACUUAUUCAAAUCUAUCCUUUUGUAUUUACACAAAGGCCAGAGUUAGUUAGACAUUGUGAAGCCUAUUGUAUUUUAUUGACACAUAACUUGAUCAUCCACAGCGUGGCUCUCAUUUUCAUUCCAUCUGUCACACUACUGUAUGUCAUAUCUUAUUCAUGCAUACCAAUGUCCAUUUUAAUUAGUCAUUCUGGGUCAACGCAGACCUCUUCCUGCUCCGAGCAGCGGUGCGGCAGAUGUGUGAAUGAAAUUUGUGUGCUAUUAUUUGAGUGAAAAUAGGCCGUUAGAGCCAUUGUGACAAGACAACAGCCCCUGUAUGGUAAUAAAAUACAUACAUCAGGGUUAAAAAGAAAAGACAAUUGUAGAGAUGUAACAGCAUGAAACACUAUUGGUUGGUAUCUGUGUGCAAAAAAAUAAAUGGUUACGCCUCAAAAGGUUCAUCUUAAUUAAAUUCAACCCCAUUAUUUCUCCAAAAAAUCAAAUGAGGCUUUUCAGUGUAUUAGUGUUACAAUUAAUUAUCAUAAUUAGAAUUAUCAUAAUUGUGCCUGUGCAGGAAAACACAGUUAAGAAAAACAUCCUUUUUGCAUGUUAAUACACAUAUUUCCCUGCUGCAGCUGGUGACUAACAGUUCAACACUUUUCUGUAGCAUAUAAAACAAAUGAUAAAUCUGUGUAGGUGCAGCAGACCUCUGAUAAUCACACUCAGUUGCCAUUUUCUUUUCAUGUCACUAUUCAUCCUUAACUUAGUCAGUUUGAAUUCAUCAAAAAACUGAGAUGAGGGCGGCAAUUCAGAGACGUGGAGCAAGACUAAGAUGUGUACACUGUUUACAAUCACCCUCCAAGCUCUCUGUGUCAUUCCCAUUGAAAUGGAGGCUCGCUCACAACAAUCAGCUGUUGAAUCGCUAAAAAAUUGUUUACUGUAUGUUCAAGAGCGUGAAGCAGUGUUUGGCCUUGAGUUCAAAUCUAACAAAUAAGGGCAUUAUGAAAAGCCCAUUUAAGGCAAGGUCGGCGCUAUGGAGUCAGCACUGGGAGGGGACCAAAUUUGAUGGGAUGGGAUGUGUCUGCCCCCCUUAUAUAUAUUUUAAUUACUGCCUUGAUUAGAGGUGUUGUACAUAAUUGAUAUAAUGUUAUAAUUUUUGACAAUAUAGUCCUAUUUUACACCAGUGUAUACACAGUUUAUACAGUCAUACAUGUGUACAAUAAGCAGACAGAUAUGUUGUCUUGUCAUUAUUAUAUUAAAACCUGUCAAUCACUUCCACAUGUUUUGA